AUUGAACGCUGGCGGCAGGCUUAACACAUGCAAGUCGAGCGGGGGAAGGUAGCUUGCUACCGGACCUAGCGGCGGACGGGUGAGUAAUGCUUAGGAAUCUGCCUAUUAGUGGGGGACAACAUCUCGAAAGGGAUGCUAAUACCGCAUACGUCCUACGGGAGAAAGCAGGGGAUCUUCGGACCUUGCGCUAAUAGAUGAGCCUAAGUCGGAUUAGCUAGUUGGUGGGGUAAAGGCCUACCAAGGCGACGAUCUGUAGCGGGUCUGAGAGGAUGAUCCGCCACACUGGGACUGAGACACGGCCCAGACUCCUACGGGAGGCAGCAGUGGGGAAUAUUGGACAAUGGGGGGAACCCUGAUCCAGCCAUGCCGCGUGUGUGAAGAAGGCCUUAUGGUUGUAAAGCACUUUAAGCGAGGAGGAGGCUACUUUAGUUAAUACCUAGAGAUAGUGGACGUUACUCGCAGAAUAAGCACCGGCUAACUCUGUGCCAGCAGCCGCGGUAAUACAGAGGGUGCGAGCGUUAAUCGGAUUUACUGGGCGUAAAGCGUGCGUAGGCGGCUUAUUAAGUCGGAUGUGAAAUCCCCGAGCUUAACUUGGGAAUUGCAUUCGAUACUGGUGAGCUAGAGUAUGGGAGAGGAUGGUAGAAUUCCAGGUGUAGCGGUGAAAUGCGUAGAGAUCUGGAGGAAUACCGAUGGCGAAAGCAGCCAUCUGGCCUAAUACUGACGCU
rnacentral:rRNA from 1 species